UCUACAACACAUCCUUCCAUUUCAAAGAUAUCUCCAAUCCCAGGUCUCCUCUCCUCUUCCUUCCCUCUACCCCCCAUUCUAACAAUCCAAUCUUCGAUAUGCUAAUUUAAUUCUUAUCCUCAUCUCAUAUAAGCUGAUAAAUUAGAAUAAAAGAGAUGCUUUGGCUUUCGUUCCUAAUCUUCCACUCAAACUCCAACCUAGGCCUUCACUCCACAUCUCUCGACCCUCUUUUAUUAUCCUCUCAUCCUCAACAGCUACUAAAAUCACUAGCAAUGAUCUUACCUCACCUCUUCUCCAUCGCUUCCUUCUUCGCCUCCCUUACCAACCUCCAUCUCUC
rnacentral:lncRNA from 1 species